rnacentral:rRNA from 1 species
GACGAACGCUGGCGGCGUGCCUAAUACAUGCCAGUAGAACGCUGAAGGAGGAGCUUGCUUCUCCGGAUGAGUUGCGAACGGGUGAGUAACGCGUAGGUAACCUGCCUGGUAGCGGGGGAUAACUAUUGGAAACGAUAGCUAAUACCGCAUAACAGUAGAUAUUGCAUGAUAUCUGCUUGAAAGGUGCAAUUGCAUCACUACCAGAUGGACCUGCGUUGUAUUAGCUAGUUGGUGAGGUAACGGCUCACCAAGGCGACGAUACAUAGCCGACCUGAGAGGGUGAUCGGCCACACUGGGACGGAGACACAGCCCAGACUCCUACGGGAGGCAGCAGUAGGGAAUCUUCGGCAAUGGACGGAAGUCUGACCGAGCAACGCCGCGUGAGUGAAGAAGGGUUUCGGAUCGUAAAGCUCUGUUGUAAGAGAAGAACGAGUGUGAGAGUGGAAAGUUCACACUGUGACGGUAUCUUACCAGAAAGGGACGGCUAACUACGUG